GCUGCGCUACCACUUCUUCAUCGAGUACCUACCUCUCCAUCCAACCACGCCCACAUCCCCGCCCCAGGGAAGCUCGUUCCAAACCACCGGACGCGCGCCCUCCGACCAGGGGCACGCCCGGGCAGCAGCGGCAGCUCCGCUGUAGUAGUCCGCUCGUCGCACCCUUCCUGGGGUCGAACGCCACCAUACUCAGUGCCGCCACCACGGAGCCAUACAGCAUCAGCGUGCUCGCCGUGGGUGGCCAUCGUCCGUUCCGGCUUCAACAUCGUCGUGUCCGGCUCCGAGAGCCACCGGUUCCCCACGGUCAACAUCACCAUCUUCGUCCUCACGACCUCGCCCAUCAUGCCGUACUACUACUACCCAGUACCCACUCGGCUCCCUCGAGUGCAUCGUGAACCCCGUCUAGCCCACUCUCGCCAUUGAGUGCACCGAGGCAGGAUACCAAUCUUCAGCAACGAGGAUGGGCGACGGGGGUGUGCUGGCGGAGACGGCGUUGCUAGGUGACACCGAUAGUAUAGUGGAUCGGAUGGGUGCAAUUUAAUUCCUCUGUGCUAGCAUGCCGGAGGAAUGUGCUGAGAUCUGCGGCGGGUUUGUGACGAGGAAAUCCGGGCUGAUAAUGCAAUGCUCGUGUCAGGGGGGCUGGAAGGGGCGCCCCCUGAAAGGAGGACAACUUCUCGUGUUGAAGAACAUGAGGAAAGUGCAGAUAUAGCCACACAGCUUAUUGUCAGCGAGGAGUAGGAUUGGAGUAGGGAGUCAUCCACUGGAUAGGACCUCAUUACAGAGAGGGUUUGUGCACUUGAUAAGACGACCAGGGGUGCGCGGACAAGUUGGGUGAGCAUGUUCUUGAGCUUUUCAUCCAUAUGAUUCAUUAGGAGAGCCAUAUAUAUGAUUUUUAUAACUUCUAUUUCUGGGAGCAUGGUUUCAGAAUUCACAAUGGGAAAAGUCGGCUGAACGCAUAGAAGAUGAAAUGCUUGCAAGAAAUAGUUUGUGGUUGCUCUGUAUCUUAACUGGGUUGGUUUAGAAUUAACUUCAGUUUCACUGAUGCUGACAACUAUCCGCACAGGGGAGGCCUACGUAGGAGAACAAUAAAUCUUGCCGCUGUGGAUGCCGAACACUGAUUCGACUUUGCAGACAUCAGACAAUGGGUAGCACAUUACUAAGCACAGAGUCUCGCACAAUAAUUCUUUCAGUCUGACAUGUGGGUAGAAGCUUCAUUGGCCGUCGCACAAGCAGAUAGAUUAGUACACAAACGACUUGGUGAAACAGCUAAGGCAAAAAAGUUCUUCGACUACGAAUUCAGGGCCAAAUUUUGCUCCUUCUUUUCCUCCAAUUAUUCGUUCCAGUUUGAUUAGGAUCGGAAAUGUUUCACUAGCAUGAUUGUUUGUAAAUGAUCACCACCCUCCGUGUACUUUUGUUGUUGUCACUCCAUUAAUUAUUUCCCCAAACGAAUCAGGUGCACUUUACUGAAUAUGAUGGGCAAGUUUUUAUGUCAA